rnacentral:lncRNA from 1 species
GGAGACUAGAUCGAUAGGGCUGCACAGAGGUGGCACAGUUGUGCCAGAGGUAGCAGGGACAGGAGGGCUGGCAAGGGAGGGUCCAGGGCUAGGGGAUUCGGAGUGGCUUCAGGCGGACCACGUGGCUACCUUUUUUCCAGGGCCAGACUUUGGCAGCGUGUAAGGUCUGAGGACAGGGGCACCGGAGGCCGAGGAUGAGAGGCCAGUGCCUGUUUCCAGGCAGCCAGGGCCUCAGAAACUCCGGCCGGAGCACUCACCCGUCGGUGGAGGCCGUUACCAGGGCCACCUUAUUUGCGAGCGGGUCCCGGCGGGUCAUCCCGGAGCUGGCCAUCCGCACCGAAUUCCAAGCCCGGGCACAGAGGCCUAGCAGCCCCGCCUUGUGCAUGGAUCAGACCAGCAAGUAUGGGUUCCACUCUUCCCAGGGGCGGUGACAGAGUAGGGCGAGGGGCAGGACGAAGGGCGGGCCGAUUCCCUGCCCGCCCUGCUCCCCGCCCCGGUACCGCUGUGAGCGGUCUGUGGCCCUGGGCACCUCCAUCCGCCGCGGCGCCCCUCCACCAUCUACCUUCCGCCUGACUGGGGCUUGCCUUUCCGGGCUGGCGGGUGAGCUCUCCGUUCAAGUUGCCUGUAGGGCUCGCCCCUCCCCUGGCCCUUGCAGGAACCCGCAGGCUUUGGCUGCUGCCUUUCUGCAUCUGCUUGCCCACCUUUUCUUCUCUGGGAAGUGGGGGUUUUGAGUUGGUUGCUUUUGCUUCUUCAGAAUUCCUUCUCCAAGAAAGUCUGGGUCUAUGUGUGUGACAGCCCACAGGAGGGCAAAUGUUUUGAGACUGCCCAUGGAGGUGAGGCCUGUGGUCGCCAUGGAGUCCACCAGGUGAGGCUGGAAGAGCCUGGGAGAGAGACGUGAUAGGGAGUAGCUGCGCCAGGCCUGGCACUGCCCUUCACUCUGCCCAAGGUCUCUUCCAUCUUCACGGGCCCUGGAGGGCAGACUAUGGUCAUUGGCCAAACAGCAUUCUCAUGUCCGUUGACAAAGGGACUUCCUCCUUUACAGGGGCUAAGUGGUAGCGAGGAGGCUGGACAGUCCCUCAAGCAGUGGUGGAAAUGCAAAGAACUCGGGGCACUCAAGUUCUCCCUAACCACUCUGUCCCCAGGUCUUAGCCGCCAUCUUAGUUCAAUAAAUAUUUGUUGAAUGCAAAA